rnacentral:rRNA from 1 species
GAUGAACGCUGGCGGCGUGCUUAACACAUGCAAGUCGAACGCCCCGCAAGGGGAGUGGCAGACGGGUGAGUAACACGUGGGGAUCUGCCCAAUGGUACGGAAUAACUCAGGGGAACUUGUGCUAAUACCGUAUGUGCCCGCAAGGGGAAAGAUUUAUCGCCAUUGGAUGAACCCGCGUCGGAUUAGCUAGUUGGUGUGGUAAAGGCGCACCAAGGCGACGAUCCGUAGCUGGUCUGAGAGGAUGAUCAGCCACACUGGGACUGAGACACGGCCCAGACUCCUACGGGAGGCAGCAGUGGGGAAUAUUGGACAAUGGGCGCAAGCCUGAUCCAGCCAUGCCGCGUGAGUGAUGAAGGCCUUAGGGUUGUAAAGCUCUUUCGCCGACGAAGAUAAUGACGGUAGUCGGAGAAGAAGCCCCGGCUAACUUCGUGCCAGCCGCCGCUGUAAUAC